rnacentral:lncRNA from 1 species
CUGUUUCUGGUGGUUUUAUGAUGUCUUCUGUAUGUUGAUUGUCUCUCUCUUUCUCUGUCUCUCUUGGGAAAACGGAGUAAUCUGUACGUUUUAUCCAGGUAGUAAAAGAAUUAAAGCUUUAGAAAAGCUGCAAGAAUUCAUGGUGUCAGGUUUCAGUCCAGCAGCAGAAACGGAAAACUAAACCAGGCUGGCCGGCUCUGCUUCUCCCCCCCCACUUCGUCCUCUGCGGCCUUGUCCGGCCUGGAGGGGGGGAGAAGCCAAGGCAGAGCCUGUUACCUUUCCAGAAAUCACAAACACAAAGAGGACAAGAGAGCUUUGGCUGUACAUCUUAAGGGGGUGUUCACAAGUUGACUUCACUUUUUCAUGGUCAAAACUGUUGUCACUUCUUAGAAAUGACUGCUAAUUGGUCAGGAGGAAGGACUCCCAUCAGCCACCAGCAGCUUCAACGUCCUCAGCUCUCAAAACCACCUUAAAGGUAAAGCCACGCCAUGACACAUUUUUACUGAGCUCUCGUGUUCCUUUCUGAUUCAGAAGAGCCCAUUCUGCACUGCCUUAUCUGACCCUUUAGGACUCUACCCAGGCAGACCAUGUGCAUUUUUAUUUUAAAAAUGGGAACAAGUUCAAAAUCAUCUUUCUUUUUAGUCUUUGCUCUUAUUAGUUCCUGCUUCCUUCACUUCCAGGACCGAGUUUUCCAAGGACACUGUUCACACACCACCUUUGCUCCUUUACCUUUGGGCUCCCCAUGGAGUGGCAAUGUUUCCUUUUGGGUGCUGCCCUCAGGAAUGAGGUGAAACCAACGUCUGAAACUUUGGAAGGAACAAAUGAAAGGAUUAGGCUCCUGAAAAAGGAAUGUUGAGGUAAGGUGUAGGUGAGACAUAGCAAAUUUCCCAUCUGUCAGAAGGAGGAGAAAGAAACGUUUCCUGUCCCUGCUAAGACAGGGAGCAGGAAGUGUGACUUGGAGAAGGAGAGUUUAAUCCAUCUAUUAAAAAAAACAGUGAUAAACUACAGCAGACUGAUUAGGAAACAUUGUUUGU